rnacentral:rRNA from 1 species
GACGAACGCUGGCGGCGUGCUUAACACAUGCAAGUCGAACGGAAAGGCCCUGCUUUUGUGGGGUGCUCGAGUGGCGAACGGGUGAGUAACACGUGAGUAACCUGCCCUUGACUUUGGGAUAACUUCAGGAAACUGGGGCUAAUACCGGAUCGGUGCUCCUGCUGCAUGGUGGGGGUUGGAAAGUUUCGGCGGUUGGGGAUGGACUCGCGGCUUAUCAGCUUGUUGGUGGGGUAGUGGCUUACCAAGGCUUUGACGGGUAGCCGGCCUGAGAGGGUGACCGGCCACAUUGGGACUGAGAUACGGCCCAGACGCCUACGGGAGGCAGCAGUGGGGAAUAUUGCACAAUGGGCGGAAGCCUGAUGCAGCAACGCCGCGUGCGGGAUGACGGCCUUCGGGUUGUAAACCGCUUUCGCCUGUGACGAAGCGUGAGUGACGGUAAUGGGUAAAGAAGCACCGGCUAACUACGUG